UGCAAGUCGAACGGUGUCUUCGGACAUAGUGGCGCACGGGUGCGUAACACGUAUGCAACCUACCUUACAUUGGGGGAUAGCCUUUCGAAAGGGAGAUUAAUACCGCAUAAGACAGUAGCUGGGCAUCCAGCAGCUGUUAAAGAUUUAUCGAUGUAAGAUGGGCAUGCGUCCAAUUAGUUAGUUGGCGAGGUAACGGCUCACCAAGACUUUGAUUGGUAGGGGAACUGAGAGGUCAAUCCCCCACACUGGCACUGAGAUACGGGCCAGACUCCUACGGGAGGCAGCAGUAGGGAAUAUUGGGCAAUGGACGCAAGUCUGACCCAGCCAUGCCGCGUGCAGGAUGAAGGCGUUAUGCGUUGUAAACUGCUUUUAUACAGGAAGAAACGACUCUUGCGAGAGGCAUUGACGGUACUGUAUGAAUAAGCACCGGCUAACUCCGUGCCAGCAGCCGCGGUAAUACGGAGGGUGCAAGCGUUGUCCGGAUUUAUUGGGUUCAAAGGGUGCGCAGGUGGUUUAUUAAGUCAGUGGUGAAAGACGGUCGCUCAACGAUUGCAGUGCCAUUGAAACUGGUAGACUUGAGUAAAGUAGAGGUGGGCGGAAUUGAUAGUGUAGCGGUGAAAUGCAUAGAUAUUAUCAAGAACUCCAAUUGCGUAGGCAGCUCACUUGGCUUUUACUGACACUCAUGCACGAAAGUGUGGGU
rnacentral:rRNA from 1 species